rnacentral:rRNA from 1 species
UACGUAGGGUGCGAGCGUUAAUCGGAAUUACUGGGCGUAAAGCGUGCGCAGGCGGUCUGUUAAGACCGAUGUGAAAUCCCCGGGCUUAACCUGGGAACUGCAUUGGUGACUGGCAGGCUUUGAGUGUGGCAGAGGGAGGUAGAAUUCCACGUGUAGCAGUGAAAUGCGUAGAGAUGUGGAGGAAUACCGAUGGCGAAGGCAGCCUCCUGGGCCAACACUGACGCUCAUGCAUGAAAGCUAGGGGAGCAAACGGG